CUGGCUCCACCUCUACUGAACCUCAUUUAAGGGCUUCCAGCCACUCUGGAAAGGUCUCCUGGAGAUCCCUUCUCUGUGAACCUAGAUCCUUGGAGACAGGACAUCAAGACAUUCAUUUGGACAGACUGGAACAAGUUCUACUUUCAACACUUUCCAUUCUUCCAAAGGGGAUGGAAGAGACCUCUGGAGAUCAUCUUGUCCACCCCCUACUUCAGCAGUUCGCCACAGGAGGGCACACAGGGACACGGCUCUUCCUGCCUGAUGACUUCACGCCGUGUCAAAAUUCCCGGAAAGAAAAAAACGUAUCUGCCGUAUCGCGCAGCCCGCAUCAGGAGCGGUGUUAUUUCCCAGCACUCAUCUCGGCGCCGCCACUACCGACAGCACGCCCUUCUCCCGCUAACACUGAUUUCCGCGGACGCUCCGUCCCGCCCGGCCCCGCUCCCCCCACGCCGAACUUUCUCCGCCGCCCGGCCCGCC